AGGAAUAUUGGUCAAUGGGCGGAAGCCUGAACCAGCCAAGUCGCGUGAGGGAUUAAGGCCCUGCGGGUCGUAAACCUCUUUUGCCGGGGAGCAGAGGUCCGGACGUGUCCGGGCCGGGAGAGUACCCGGAGAAAAAGCAUCGGCUAACUCCGUGCCAGCAGCCGCGGUAAUACGGAGGAUGCGAGCGUUAUCCGGAUUUAUUGGGUUUAAAGGGUGCGUAGGCGGGCAUUUAAGCCGGCGGUCAAAUGACGGGGCUCAACCCCGGCCUGCCGUCGGAACUGGGUGCCUUGAGUGGGCGAGAAGUAUGCGGAAUGCGUGGUGAAGCGGUGAAAUGCAUAGAUAUCACGCAGAACCCCGAUUGCGAAGGCAGCAUACCGGCGCCCUACUGACGCUGAGGCACGAAAGUGCGGGUAUCGAACA
rnacentral:rRNA from 1 species